rnacentral:lncRNA from 1 species
CAGCAGACCUGCCUGCUCUCUGUGCUGCUGCUCACCACGGCCGCGUGCCAUUCCCCUGCCAGGGAGCCUUGGGACGGGACUCCCGUUAGAAGUCUGAUGGCAACACGUGUCUGCCUCCCCCAGAGCAGAUGAACAGAACCUCCUAGAGAGCAACUUUCAAUGCCCCGACCUUCAGCAGAGGAUGAAGAGCAGAUCUCUCCUCCUGCUCCCGGGAGGGUGGGACGGCAAGGCCCUCCCGGUCCAAUGUGACGGCAGGAUUAGCCUAGUGGCUGC